GAUGAACGCUGGCGGCGUGCCUAAUACAUGCAAGUCGAGCGGACAGACGAGGAGCUUGCUGCUUUCACGUUAGCGGCGGACGGGUGAAUAACACGUGGAUAAUCUCCCUAUCAGACUGGUAUAACUUCGGGAAACCGGAGCUAAUACCGGAUGAUAUACUGAACCGCGGGGUUCGAUGGUGAAAUACGGCUUUGGUGGCACUUCUCGCUGGUUCCGCGCCGCUUUGUCGAGUUGGUAAGGUAACGGCUUACCAAGGCGACGAUGCGUAGGCGACCGGAGAGGGGGGUAGGCGGCACGGGAGGGGGAACACGGACCAGACGCCUGCGGGAGGCAGCAGUAGGGAAUGUUCCGCAGUGGGCGGAAGCCUGACGGAGCAACGCGGAGUGAGUGGUGAAGGUCUCCGGAGCGUAAUACUCUGUUAUUAGGUAAGAACAACUGUGUACGUAACUAUGCACGGCUUGACGGUACCGAGUAAGAAAGCCACGGCUAACUACGUG
rnacentral:rRNA from 1 species